AGACUCGGAGGAUAGAGGAAGUCGCCGCGAGGCGGCUGGGCGUGAAAUUCGGC
rnacentral:ncRNA from 1 species